CCUACGGGUGGCAGCAGUAGGGAAUUUUCGUCAAUGGGGGAAACCCUGAACGAGCAAUGCCGCGUGAGUGAGGAAGGUCUUCGGAUCGUAAAGCUCUGUUGUAAGUGAAGAACGGCUCAUAGAGGAAAUGCUAUGGGAGUGACGGUAGCUUACCAGAAAGCCACGGCUAACUACGUGCCAGCAGCCGCGGUAAUACGUAGGUGGCAAGCGUUAUCCGGAAUCAUUGGGCGUAAAGGGUGCGUAGGUGGCACGAUAAGUCUGAAGUAAAAGGCAACAGCUCAACUGUUGUAUGCUUUGGAAACUGUCGAGCUAGAGUGCAGAAGAGGGCGAUGGAAUUCCAUGUGUAGCGGUGAAAUGCGUAGAUAUAUGGAGGAACACCAGUGGCGAAGGCGGUCGCCUGGUCUGUAACUGACACUGAGGCACGAAAGCGUGGGGAGCAAAUAGGAUUAGAUACCCCGGUAGUC
rnacentral:rRNA from 1 species